UAUUGUCACAAAUUCUCCGGCUUCUUGUGAGGAUUUUUCUUGAUAAUCCUACAAAAUGUAAACAUAUUCAACUUUAAAAUCCUCAGAGAUGUUUGCAAGCGUGAAUGAACUGCGCCACCGGGAUGAGCAGUCAGCGGAAAGAAAAAAGUUAACGUCAAAAUGGCCGACGAGACAUUUAUAGACACUUAUAGACGACGAGAGACUUUUAUUCCUUAAUAAUUAUGAAUGAAUUGGAUUGGCGCAUUUUUUUGGAGAAAAAAAUCAGAAUUUUGUGGUCAAUUUGUUCAAAAAAUGUUUGUAUAUUGAAAUCAAUGUCAUAAGGAAAAAAUCAGAAAAUAUGAAAAAGAAGAAGUUUCAAGUUUCAACUUCAGAAAUUUUUAUUGAUAUGUUGGCAUCCAAUCAUUGCGUGGUAAACACGUGACUUUCUCAUCGCUUUGGAAAUCCUUGAGACUUAUACCAUCACUGCGGCGUUUUUUGGCGUAGGAUAUGGUGACCAAACAUUUAGUAUCAAACAGUCUUCAGUCAAAUUCCAUCCUUUUAUGAAUCUCUGGAAGCAUGCGAUGGUGACGUCAGUUGAGUUUAAGAUACCUAUAAUGUAGGAAGUGAAGAAAGUAUAUUGGGGGGAAAUGAAUAUUUGGAAAGAAAUUGUCGUAAAAAUAUACGGCGAAGAAGCAAAGGAAAGAUAGAAAAUAUGUAUGGAAAUCCUACGAUGAUGUGCAGUAUUUUCAAUCAUAGAUGUGUCAAGGUGUUUUUAGAGAUUAAAUGCAACAUGAAAAUUCAGAGAACUUAGGGAAAGUAUAGAACAAUAGGGGACUGUUAAGUUGAUGUUAUACCAUUCCAAGGUUUCUUUGGUUGGGGUUUUUCAAAUCGUAGUUUACCAACUGGUGCCUCAGCAUAUGGUAUGUUAAGGAAUUUCUGUAUUUUGAUACCAAGGAAGCUGGACUUCUGCAGCAAACCUCGAACUUUUCCAGAUUUUGUUUCAACAACUGUAAUGUAACAAAGGGAAGAGAUAGUCAAUGUUAUUGAAGAUGUUUUAGUGUUUUGAUUGAAUGCGAUGUUUUUAGUCGAGUUCUUUGAAACUUAAA